rnacentral:tRNA from 1 species
UCCCUGACGGUCAAGUGGUUAGGGCUCAGCACUUUCAUUGCUGGGGCCUGGGUUCCAUCCCUGGUUGGGAAA